GCAUUCAGUUGCCAUCGGGUAAUGCCGGGCACUCUGGAAGGACUGCCAUCGACAAGAUGGAGGAAGUGGGGAUGACGUCAAGUCGUCAUGGCCCUUAUGUCCAGGGCGACACACGUGCUACAAUGGCCGGCACAACGGGAAGCGAGUUCGCGAGGACGAGCGGAUCCCUCAAAGCCGGUCGCAGUUCGGAUUGAAGUCUGCAACUCGACUUCAUGAAGCUGGAAUCGCUAGUAAUCGUGGAUCAGCCAAGCCGCGGUGAAUACGUUCCCGGGCCUU
rnacentral:rRNA from 1 species